rnacentral:rRNA from 1 species
AGUGACACUGCGCCGAAAAUGUACCGGGGCUAAACAUAUUACCGAAGCUGUGGAUUGUCCUUUGGACAAUGGUAGGAGAGCGUUCUAAGGGCGUUGAAGCAUGAUCGUAAGGACAUGUGGAGCGCUUAGAAGUGAGAAUGCCGGUGUGAGUAGCGAAAGACGGGUGAGAAUCCCGUCCACCGAUUGACUAAGGUUUCCAGAGGAAGGCUCGUCCGCUCUGGGUUAGUCGGGUCCUAAGCUGAGGCCGACAGGCGUAGGCGAUGGAUAACAGGUUGAUAUUCCUGUACCACCUAUAAUCGUUUUAAUCGAUGGGGGGACGCAGUAGGAUAGGCGAAGCGUGCGAUUGGAUUGCACGUCUAAGCAGUAAGGCUGAGUAUUAGGCAAAUCCGGUACUCGUUAAGGCUGA